AAGAAUAACUGGGACCAGCUUUUCCAAAUUUUUUAGCUUGGUGGACAAAACAAGCAAAGCUGUAUCACCCAACAUUUACCUGGAGUCGUCAAAUGUGACCGACGUGGGGAAUGUACUGGAGAUAUUUGAAAGCAGAUAUCUACUUACCCUGAACUUGUCACAGAACCAAGUGAAACGUCUUGACAAGAAGAUUUUGUCGUCUGCCCCAAAGUUAGAGUACUUGU
rnacentral:sRNA from 1 species